UCUUAGACUCUCAGAGGUAAUAGGAGAUGGUGUAAGAAGAUUAGGAAGAUCCCACUGACAGCUGGGCAUGCAACUUGGAAAGUUGAGGCAGGAAGAUCACUGUGAGUUCAAGGCCAGUGUGAACUACAUUGUGAAACCCUGUCUCAGAAAACCAAAGAGAGAAAUAAUCAGCAGUGAAGGAAUCCCCCAGUGGCAGUUAGGAAAAACAGAAGCAGAUAGGAAACUCCAACUUUGACAAAUCUAGAAGAUAUCUGAAACCACAAAUUAUAAUGUGUGAGGAGGCGCUACCAAUACAGCAAAGAAGUCUGCUGUAAAUUGCUACUGUUAGAAGUACUCACUUCAUUCCGGAAUGAAUAAGUAUCAAAAAACAAAACUGCAAAGAAUUAAACAAAGGUAAAACCAGAAAGAGUUGUUAGAUUUUAAUUACAAUUCCAAAUGGUUUGUGAACUAACAAGAAAAAAAAGGUUUCUUCAGAAAAACAUAG